rnacentral:rRNA from 1 species
CUACGGGAGGCUGCAGUGAGGAAUAUUGCACAAUGGGGGGAACCCUGAUGCAGCAACGCCGCGUGGAGGAUGACGCAUUUCGGUGUGUAAACUCCUUUUAUAUGUCAAGAAAAUGACGGUAGCAUAUGAAUAAGCACCGGCUAACUCCGUGCCAGCAGCCGCGGUAAUACGGAGGGCGCAAGCGUUACUCGGAAUCACUGGGCGUAAAGGACGCGUAGGCGGGUUGGAAAGUCAGGUGUGAAAUCCUACAGCUUAACUGUAGAACUGCACUUGAAACUUCUAAUCUAGAGUAUGGGAGGGGGAGUUGGAAUUAGUGGUGUAGGGGUAAAAUCCGUAGAUAUCACUAGGAAUACCUAAAGCGGAGGCGAUCUCCUGGAACAUUACUGACGCUAAGGCGUGAAAGCGUGGGGAGCAAACAGGAUUAGAUACCCCCGUAGUC